rnacentral:rRNA from 1 species
ACUCCUACGGGAGGCAGCAGUGAGGAAUAUUGGACAAUGGGCGCAAGCCUGAUCCAGCCAUGCCGCGUGCAGGAUGACGGCCCUAUGGGUUGUAAACUGCUUUUAUACGGGAAUAAACCCCUCUACGUGUAGAGGGCUGAAGGUACCGUAAGAAUAAGGACCGGCUAACUCCGUGCCAGCAGCCGCGGUAAUACGGAGGGUCCGAGCGUUAUCCGGAUUUAUUGGGUUUAAAGGGUCCGCAGGCGGGAUAUUAAGUCAGUGGUGAAAGCCUGCAGCUUAACUGUAGCACUGCCAUUGAUACUGGUAUUCUUGAGUGUGGUUGAAGUGGGCGGAAUAUGUCAUGUAGCGGUGAAAUGCAUAGAUAUGACAUAGAACACCUAUUGCGAAGGCAGCUCACUAAGCCAUUACUGACGCUCAGGGACGAAAGCGUGGGUAGCAAACAGGAUUAGAUACCCUGGUAGGAUAGCGU